UACGUAGGGUGCGAGCGUUAAUCGGAAUUACUGGGCGUAAAGCGUGCGCAGGCGGUUCGUUGUGUCGGCGGUGAAAGCCCCGGGCUUAACCUGGGAACUGCAUUGGUGACUGGCAGGCUUUGAGUGUGGCAGAGGGAGGUAGAAUUCCACGUGUAGCAGUGAAAUGCGUAGAGAUGUGGAGGAAUACCGAUGGCGAAGGCAGCCUCCUGGGCCAACACUGACGCUCAUGCACGAAAGCGUGGGGAGCAAACAGG
rnacentral:rRNA from 1 species